rnacentral:snoRNA from 1 species
CCCCUUUCAGGGUCACUCCUGGAGAGUUUCCAGUACUCUACCAGUCUUGAUUGCAGGAGGGAGAGUCACGCAGAGGCCUGUCCAUUCCAUUCCUAGCUUGGGCAGUGGCUAGUGAGUGGCAGGCAAUCUGCUAUAAGU